GUACGGGAGGCAGCAGUAAGGAAUAUUGGUCAAUGGACGCAAGUCUGAACCAGCCAUGCCGCGUGGAGGAUGAAGGCCCUCUGGGUUGUAAACUUCUUUUAUCUGGGAAGAAAUGCAUUUAUUCUUAAGUGUUUGACGGUACCAGAGGAAUAAGCACCGGCUAACUCCGUGCCAGCAGCCGCGGUAAUACGGAGGGUGCAAGCGUUAUCCGGAUUCACUGGGUUUAAAGGGUGCGUAGGCGGGUUUGUAAGUCCGUGGUGAAAUCUCCGAGCUUAACUCGGAAACUGCCAUGGAUACUAUAAGUCUUGAAUGUUGUGGAGGUAAGCGGAAUAUGUCAUGUAGCGGUGAAAUGCUUAGAUAUGACAUAGAACACCUAUUGCGAAGGCAGCUUGCUACACAAAUAUUGACGCUGAGGCACGAAAGCGUGGGGAUCAAACAGGAUUAGAUACCCGCGUAGUCCU
rnacentral:rRNA from 1 species